rnacentral:rRNA from 1 species
GGGGGAAAAAUUAAUUAAUAAGUUAGUUUAAUAAAAAAAUUUUUAAUUAAAAUAUUUUGGGGUUAAAGUAUUAUUUAAGAAAAAAUUAUAUAAUUUAUAGUGAAUUAGUUAUAGUGAGAGAAUUUUGAAAUAAAUGAAAAUUAAAUUAAUGAAAAGUAGUUUUAAUUGAUGUAUCUUGAGUAUCAGAGUUUAUUUAAAAAAUAUUUUUUAGUUAAAAAAAUUCUCGAAUUAAAAGAGAUAAUUUAAUUAAUUAAAGUUAUUGUAGCAUAAAUAUUUUUAAAUAAUUAAUUUGAAGUGAAAUGUUAAUCGUUUUUAAAUAUAUCUAGUUUUUUUAGAAAAAAAUUUAAUUUUAUUUUAUUUCAAUAAAAAAAAUUAAUUAAUUAAUUUUUUUUUUAUUGAAAUAAAAUUAUAAUUUAGGGGAUAAGCUUUAAUUUAAAGUUAUAUAAAUAAAAUUAAGUUUAUUAAUUAAGAUUUUUAUGAUUUAAAUUGUUAAAAAAUUUUAAUUUACUAUAAAUAAUUUUAUUUAAAAUAAAAUUUAAUGUUAUAUUUAUUUUAUAUUUUUAUAAAAAAUAAAUUUAAAAUUAAAUAAAAAUUGAUAUAAUGAUAAAAUUAGUAUAUAAAAUAAGGUAAGAUUAAUUUAAUAAUUUUUUUUUUAAGUAGUUAAAAGGAAUUCGGCAAAAAUUUAUAUUCACUUGUUUAUCAAAAACAUGUCUUUUUGAAUAUAAUAUAAAGUCUAAUCUGCCCACUGAUUUUAAUUUAAAGGGCUGCAGUAUAUUGACUGUACAAAGGUAGCAUAAUCAUUAGUCACUUAAUUGGUGACUUGUAUGAAGGAUUGGAUGAAAUAUAAUCUGUCUCUUGAUUAUAAAUAGAAUUUAAUUUUUUAAUUAAAAAGUUAAAAUAUUUUAAAAAGACGAGAAGACCCUAUAGAGUUUUAUAGUUAAAUUUAAUUAAGAUUAUUUAUAAAAUAAAAAUUGAAAUUAUUUUAAUUAUUUUGUUGGGGUGACAGAAAAAUAUAAAAAACUUUUUAUAAUUUAAAACAUAGAUAAGUGAUUAAAUGAUCCAAUAUUAUUGAUUAUAAGAUAAAAUUACCUUAGGGAUAACAGCGUAAUUUUUUUUUUUAGUUCAUAUAAGAAAAAGAGUUUGCGACCUCGAUGUUGGAUUAAGAUAAAAUUUAAAUGUAGAAGUUUAAAGUUUUUGAUCUGUUCGAUCAUUAAAAUCUUACAUGAUCUGAGUUCAAACCGGUGUAAGCCAGGUUGGUUUCUAUCUUUUGAAAAUUAAAAUAUUUUAGUACGAAAGGAUUGAAUAUUUAAAUUAAAUUUAUAUAAUUAAUGAAUAUUAUUAAAUUUAUAAUAUAAUAUAAAUAUAUAUAUAUAUAUAAAUUAAUA